ACCCUUGUUCAAAACCAGAGGGGGGAAAAAAAAAGGAAAAAGACUUGUUGAGAAGGCUGCGACGUUUAGACGCGACGAGCAAGAGACACAAGCUAAAACGGCUAUUAAAAAAAAAAAUAAAUAAUAAUAAUAACCCAGACACCUACUCGGUUGUUUUGUAAGUUUGUUUUAGGCGCUUUCGGUCGACAGUUUUGUUUUAGGACGAACACUCUGACAGGUAUGAGAAUCUGAAUCGAAUGUAGGACGCUAGCAUAGCUAACCAGCUAACAGCGAGUCAUGAUUGGCCUUUUGCUUUAACCGGCGUUACGUUUGUUUGUAACGUUGAAGGACAAAGAUUACGAGUAGCCAACCGCGGCGCUCUCCUCCAGUGUCACGUCGGCCAGUACUUUUUUAAGUGAAUAGUUUUUUUUACCACGAUGGGUCGAAUAAUCGAGCUUGGCCACGUUUCGCGCGCGCGACAUGCCUGUUUUUGCGUGGCUCGGGGGUCGCACGCGGGCGUUGCUAGCGGCCACGAGCUCUCCCACGUUGCGGUGAGACCCGGAUCGGCGAGUCAUGGCGGGCGACACAGACCGGGCGACGCUGCCUGUGGGCCAGACGUGGGAAGACGAGUCCAGCAUCUUCAAGUGGAAGGACGUUGUGCUGUGGAGUUUCCCAAGCCCUCACCCCCCCUCAAGCAGGACUAUGUGCUUACUGACCUGGAUGCCAGCUCUUUAAUUUCUCAAGCCUGAACAUAGGUGACUUUAAGGACUAGGUUACGCAGGAUGUUGGAGCCAUUGUGAACAUGUUGAACAAAAUGUAUCCUGCCAGCAAAUGUUUUCCCUUCAUAAUGGGUGGAAUAAAGUCUAUUAACUCAAGUCUGAGAGCUGACAGCCUCACACCCUGAAAACCCCUUCGAGGUCACAACCAAAGUUCAGCCUGGACCUCCGCCUGCUGCACAUAUCUCCUGUCCUUGAUCCCUGAGCUGCUGCAGUGCGACCUGAAGUGACCCCGAUCGGAUGCAGACAACUACAACUUCAAUAGGCUGUGACUGCUUCCUACUGCUCAUCAUCAUGACCCAAAUCCUGCCACUGUUAUGCUGAGAUCCCGGAUUCUGUCUGGGGACCUGAAAACCCAGCAUGCAGGUUCUUACACAGAUGGACACAGUGUUGGACCAGAGUAGCAUGUCAGACGUUGAUGGUAAACACCAUCAGCAUUGUUGUAGCUGCACAUCAUUCACAGCUUGAACACUGAUGACCAUUGUGUAACUUGAGAAGUUCGAAGCUCUACAGCUGUAUUGUGGGCUUUUUGCUGGUGAGCAACAGUGGGAAGUUCAGUCUUUCCACAUUUAUUUUCAAAUAAACUUUGGCUUUACUAUAAAAAAACAUGGACUGGACCACAUCUGUAGUAAAUGUGCAAAAACUCUGUCAUAUAUAUUUCUAACAUCCUUGUCAUAGCCUCUAACUGUUCAGUAAUCCUUUGAGUCUAGCAGUUUUAACUGGACUGGGUUGAUAGUGUCUGUGGAUUCCUGGGAAGGAUUUGCCGUUUUUGUGAUUUCCUUGCAUCAUCAGAGGCGACAGCUCAUCAUAACUGUCUUCAUAUUCUCUGUGGUUUUGUCAGUCGGAAAUGGGCCCCGGGCUUGAUAGUGCCUGCAUUUGGUUAAAGCUGGUGCUGGGUAAUGUGACAUGAAAUCCAUAUGAUUUGUCAUUUACUUAAGUAAUAA